CCCUUAGAUGUUCUGGGCUGCACGCGCGCUACACUGAUGCACUCAACGAGUUUACGACCUUGCCCGAUAGGGUUGGGUAAUCUUUUUAAAAUGCAUCGUGAUGGGGAUAGAUUAUUGCAAUUAUUAAUCUUCAACGAGGAAUUCCUAGUAAGCGCGAGUCAUCAGCUCGUGCUGAUUACGUCCCUGCCCUUUGUACACACCGCCCGUCGCUCCUACCGAUUGGGUGCUCAGGUGAAUAAUUCGGACUGCAGCAAUGUUUGGAUCCCGAACGUUGCAGCGGAAAGUUUAGUGAACCUUAUCACUUAGAGGAAGGAGAAGUCGUAACA
rnacentral:rRNA from 1 species